rnacentral:rRNA from 1 species
AGAGUUUGAUCAUGGCUCAGAUUGAACGCUGGCGGCAUGCCUUACACAUGCAAGUCGAACGGCAGCACGGGAGCAAUCCUGGUGGCGAGUGGCGAACGGGUGAGUAAUACAUCGGAACGUGUCCUGUAGUGGGGGAUAGCCCGGCGAAAGCCGGAUUAAUACCGCAUACGCUCUACGGAGGAAAGGGGGGGAUCUUAGGACCUCCCGCUACAGGGGCGGCCGAUGGCAGAUUAGCUAGUUGGUGGGGUAGAGGCCUACCAAGGCGACGAUCUGUAGCUGGUCUGAGAGGACGACCAGCCACACUGGGACUGAGACACGGCCCAGACUCCUACGGGAGGCAGCAGUGGGGAAUUUUGGACAAUGGGCGAAAGCCUGAUCCAGCAAUGCCGCGUGUGUGAAGAAGGCCUUCGGGUUGUAAAGCACUUUUGUCCGGAAAGAAAACCUCCGCCCUAAUAUGGUGGGGGGAUGACGGUACCGGAAGAAUAAGCACCGGCUAACUACGUGCCAGCAGCCGCGGUAAUACGUAGGGUGCAAGCGUUAAUCGGAAUUACUGGGCGUAAAGCGUGCGCAGGCGGUCCGCUAAGACAGAUGUGAAAUCCCCGGGCUUAACCUGGGAACUGCAUUUGUGACUGGCGGGCUAGAGUAUGGCAGAGGGGGGUAGAAUUCCACGUGUAGCAGUGAAAUGCGUAGAGAUGUGGAGGAAUACCGAUGGCGAAAGCAGCCCCCUGGGCCAAUACUGACGCUCAUGCACGAAAGCGUGGGGAGCAAACAGGAUUAGAUACCCUGGUGGUCCACGCCCUAAACGAUGUCAACUAGUUGUUGGGGAUUCAUUUCCUUAGUAACGUAGCUAACGCGUGAAGUUGACCGCCUGGGGAGUACGGUCGCAAGAUUAAAACUCAAAGGAAUUGACGGGGACCCGCACAAGCGGUGGAUGAUGUGGAUUAAUUCGAUGCAACGCGAAAACCUUA